rnacentral:rRNA from 1 species
UACGGAGGGGGCUAGCGUUGUUCGGAAUUACUGGGCGUAAAGAGCUCGUAGGCGGUUUGUCGCGUCUGCUGUGAAAACUCGAGGCUCAACCUCGGGCUUGCAGUGGGUACGGGCAGACUAGAGUGCGGUAGGGGAGACUGGAAUUCCUGGUGUAGCGGUGGAAUGCGCAGAUAUCAGGAGGAACACCGAUGGCGAAGGCAGGUCUCUGGGCCGCAACUGACGCUGAGGAGCGAAAGCAUGGGGAGCGAACAGG